AUAGACAACGAAUCAUCCCAAAAUUCAGGCGGUGGACUUUGGGAGCAACUGUAGACUUGGGGGUUCCCCCAUGUCCAAACCCAACCCAAAGCCAGAAGACCUGCAAUCUCAUUGAUGUGAUCCACAAAAGAAUGGAAUGUGUGUCUGCAGGGACAAGCUUGAAAUCUUUUCUUUUGUGGUUCCUGAGAAGUUUUCAUGUCAAAGACUUAUAAAAUGAGUCGAAGAGUGAACACUUUUGCUAUUGUCCGGAAGUGAUUGUGUAAGAUCGGAAUUCUUUGUUCUUGGAAUGCUUGGUGGAAGAGCUGUUAAAGCUUCUGGAGACUGGAGGAUGCUUUGUGGGAAGGUUUUCCAUUACUCACUCAAUUUUUUUAAACAGUUUGAGGAUUUUAAAAAAUUUUUUUCUUGCAAUCCGAUGCACUCUGUGACCUGUUCACCUGAUGUUUCCCAUUUAACCAUUAAGAAGAUCCCCUUGCAGAGGCUGAAGAGCUAUGGAAGCACCAGUAGCCAGUGUCCGUAGGCAGCUGUCCUGGAGCUUCAGAACCGAACUGGCCAAGGACAUUGGUGCCAACCCAAAGGAGAAAUGGGUCCGGAAUUAUAUGAAACACCUGGGUCAGAAACCUCACACCCUGAAGACUUGGACUCUUUCGGCCACACUAAGACCGAACCAGAGGCUGAGAAAUGAUUAUUCUCCCCCAGCCUUCCUGUCUCUAUCCUCGACUAAAUUGACCUGAAUUUUCAGAUAGGGUGCUUUCUGUUUCCUGAUGCAAAAUGUACUAUGUCUUAAGUAAUAUUGAGUAUUAUUUGAAUUGUGGCUGGUUGGGGAGUUAUUCUGAAUAUUGGUGAUCUCUUUUUUUAAAGCAGGGCCUUGAGCCACUUGGCUCCUGUCGUGAGCCCCAGCUCCUUCUCCUGUAAGCUGUGGACAGUGGGUCUUUCUCCUGCCUAACUCCCCAGGGGUAAUGAGCAUGCCUAUGAGAGCCACAACGAUGAAGGGCUACUGCAAUCUAGGGAGGACAGCGCCUGGUGAAUGUGAGGUGUUGCUAAAUGUGUUAUUAUGGAAACAUGAAUGCAAUUGUAGGAUGGCUGUCUUUUUGCAGAAAAUACAUUUUGCUUAAAAUCUCUGAUACAGUAGUGGUGUUUUCUUCAGGGAUAACUCCCAACCAGUAGGGGGUGCUCUCAGGUGCA